UGAGGUCAGUCUCACACACACACAUAUAUACGCAUAUAUGCAUAUACGCAAUGUGUUGAACGAACAGGACAGGAGCCAAUGGAGUGCGAAACUCCAGGCAGGGGUUUGGGGAGCGAAACCAACCUAAGAAUACACUUAACAACGAUAAGGGAGCAGAGGCCAAACUCUGUGGGCGUGUUCUUUGUCACGCCCACUACCUUCCCACGUAGGUCACGUGACCACCAGACUUUCGCUGCCGAAGAUGCUGUUUCCUGCCAGAGCGUGGUGCUUCCUGUCAUGCCCACGAACACGCCCACCAAGUUUGGAUCACGUGACACCCGCGGCCCUGACAUCUGACAUCGGGACCACGCCCAUCUGAAAGGGGAUCUGUGCGUGGGCAAAGUUACGCUGUCCUGGUGUCACGUGUCGCCUAGUUACGCCGCACUCUGUCUCGGCCCGAAAAUGGCGGCGCCGCGGCCACAAGUCGAUAAGGGAGCAACAACGCCUAGAGGCUGUGGGCGUCGGGCGUUUUGUGUUCUUACAUGACCACCAGACUGUUUCCUGCCAGAGUGUGGGAGUGGUCGAGCCCAAAUCUUACUUUCGGCUUCCUGUCAUGCCGCCCACCGCCUAGAGAUUUGGUAUUCAGUUUCCCACAGACAUCUGUGUGCACUAGGUCACCAACAGGAAAAGGACGUUAGUGCAGGGCUCACAGAAACUGAUUUCCUACCACCGCCUAGAGAUUCCCACAGACAUCUGUGUGCACUAGGUCACCAACAGGAAAAGGACGUAAGUGCAGGAACUGAUUUCCUUCGAACCACCAUAGUCAAAACCACACUGUCAUGCCGCCCACCAAGUUUGGAUCACGUGACACCUUUGGAUCACGUGACACAGACUGACACAGACCGGGAACACGCCAAGUUGACGCUGGGGAGUGGCCCUGGACAUCGGGACCACGCCCAUCUGAAAGGGGAUCACGAAAUCUGUGCGUGGGCAAAGUUACGCUGUCCUGGUGUCACGUUUCACCUAGUUACGCCGCACUCUGUCUCGGUCCGAAAAUGGCGGCUUGCCGCGGCCACAGGGAGCAACAACGCCUAGAGGCCAAACUCUGUGGGCGUGUUCUUUGUCACGCCCACUACCUUCCCACGCAGGUCACGUGAUCACGUGACCACCAGACUUUCGCCGCUGUUUCCUCCCAGAGCGUGGGGUCUGACUUCCGGCUGCCCACGAACACGCCCACCAAGUUUGGAUCACGUGACACCCGCAAAAGACCGGAAACACGCCAAGUUCACGCUGGGGACCACGCCCAUCUGAAAGGAUCCUAUGCGUGGGACGCUGUCCUGGUGGCCCUGGUGGCCUAGUUAGGCGGCGAUUUCGUGCCGCGGCCACAAGUCCUAGAGGCCAAACUCUGUGGGCGUGUUCUUUGUCACGCCCACUACCUUCCCACGCACUUUCGCCGCUGUUUCCUCCCAGAGCGUGGGAGCUGACUUCCGGCUUCCUGUCAUGCCCACGAACACGCCCACCAAGUUUGGAUCACGUGACACCCGGGAACACGCCAAGUUCACGCAUUGGGACCACGCCCAUCUGUUCGUGGAUGGAGACACAACUCAGGGAGACCCACUUGCGAUGCCCUGUGAAUUAUAGCAGAACAGGGUGCAGUGUGAUGGUGAUAUAAUUAUAGCAGUCUGCAACUCUGGGGGGGGGACCUUGGUCUGCUCAGCCCACGUGGCUUUGCGCAUGUGCACUGGAUGCGAAUGAAUAUUUGGAGGUGGAGCUAGCUAGUUGGAGGUGGAGUUUUUAGUUGAUCGUAACCAGUAGAGAUAUUGGUAUUGAGCAAUAACCAGAUUUAUAGACUACAGUGCAUAAUCUCAUAAAAUUUUUCUUGGCUUAUAGUUAUCUACAGUCUUUCUACUACCUCUCUGCAAAAUCUGAUGCAACUCUUUCCACCAAAGCACUCUGUCUAAGCAGCCACCAUUACCUUACUUUUCCCAAUUUGGCAAUCUUUGAGUGGGCAUUUCUCAAUACCGCUGUUUUACAACUUCGAGUUUCCAACGCGCAUAACUCAGGCAUGGAACGGGGUAUGUGCAAACUAAGCACAUCAAUGCGUAGGCAAUUCUUUGCUCUAUCAUGUGGUAUAUAGAUUGCAAAAAUUAUAGCUUGCGCCCUUUUCCCAGAGCCUGUCACAAAUGGAAAGAAGAAAGAACUCUUUAUAGGCAGAGGCUCAUUUGGUGUUCGCUUGCAAAUGUACAGGGUCGCGAGCUACUUCCUCACACAGAUGUUGUCAAAGAAGCAGCGAUUCUUACACAAUUGUGUCAUCCAAACGUUCCGUUAUAUCGGCAAUACCAUGGAUUGCCAAACUCAUCUACGUCUGUAACACUUGCUAAGUACCUAACAACUGAAAAAUAUUCAUGCUCUGGAUCCGAUGAAUGUGUUGUCAUCUGCCUGUGUGCAGAGCUAGCUGAAGUACUUCACGAUGAAGUGAAGCUUAUACACAAUGAUCUAAAAUGUAGCAAUGUUUUGGUCUGUGACAGCUUGACUAGUUCACUUUCCAAAGGGAUGUCAACAGAUAAAGAUGUGCCGACGCCACCUAUGGCCAUGCGAGUUGAUUUGCAAGUGGUUGUUAGAAAGGCGACUACAUUCAAAAAUGCCCGCAAGUAUUCACUUAGUACUCGCCGGAAGUGAUUGAGGGUUUAACUACUCAAACGCCUAUGAGUGAUAUUUUCUCACUAGGUCACAUUUUCAAGGUCACAUUUUAUAUAAAAUUGCUUCACUGUAGUAUGUGAUUCUACGAAGAGCCAUCUCAAUACCGUUGCCACUAAUUGUCGAUCAUCACGAUGUGUAUGCUUGGCGCUGUAAUUACAGCUAAGCUAGCUAGCUGAUAGUCUGUUUUCCCAGAGCCUGUCACAUUUAUCAUCAGGAUGAAUUUCAUGUAGCUCACAUGUUUUGGAGCUACUUAAAAUUGAUACAGUAGCUGCCUUUUCUCUUCAGCAACACUAGUCCUCCUUCUUUCUAGUUCCCAACACCAACGUUCCCAGUAACUCCUGGACAUGUUCUUAUACACUAAACUUUCUUCUCUGCCUCGACUUUUAGACUAUGUUCUAAUUCUAGCUGAGUUUGAACAGCAGCUUGAAGUUGAGAACGCUUUCUCUUGACUCUUAGAUUCCUCAUUCUAUGUUUUUCAGCUUUAGUGUUCUUCCGGCUCUAGCUCUAGCUCUAUUCUCGUCGGCCAGAAGUCCACAAGACCAAAAUCCUGGUUAUGGUCUCAGAAUGAUGGUCUCAGAAUGAAUCAUUUUGACCCAUUCGACAGACCAACUCUCGAUCAACCAGAAAAUUGACAGGCUAACUAGCCUAAUACAAAAAGGAAACAAAGGAGUUGAAAGCCGAGUUCAAUGCCUUGAAAUGUGAAGUUGACCAUCAUAUAAAAGAUGUCCCUGAUAGCUCUUGUUCAAGCUCUACCCCGUCCUCUACACCUAGAAGGCAGUGUGUGGUUGUGUUUUAUUGUGGUUGUGUUUUAUAAUAUCUGGUAUGAACUGUUAUCGUUUCAGAUCGCUGUAAAAAAUCUUCAAGAUAAGUGUGAGGAAGAUAAGUGUGAGGAGGGUAUUAAAUUCGCUGGAAAUGAGCUGUAAGUUUAAAGAACUUUUUUUCACCCGUGUUUUCUAGUUAUAAUUCGGAAAGAAACAUGAUCACUCAGUUGUCAGAGAAGUUUUCAGGCACAAGGAAAAUCAAGCGCAAGUUAUCAAUAAUUAUGGAUGCAUGUUUGUCUACUUUCAAUGUACCCUGCUUCAAGUGGUCUUUUAAUUGUGUUUGUACGUUCAUAGUACAUAUUUCAUAUGUUUGUGUGUGCUGUCAAGAUGACUCAUCUUUCGACGGCAACCUGUCAAGAUGUCACAUCUUUUGACGGGGUUCAAACAGUGGGUUCAAACAGUGUUUGUGUGUGCGUGUUAACAUGUUUCAUAUGUUUAAUUUGUGUGUAUGUGUGUGUGUGUGUGUGUGUGCAUUAUUGCUGUCAAGAUGACUCAUCUUUCGACAGCAACCUGUCAAGAUGUCACAUCUUUUGACGGGGUUCAAACGGUGUGCGUGUUACAUGUUUCAUAUGUUUUUGUGUGUAUAUGUGUGUGCAUUGUAUAUGUGUGUGCAUUAUUGCUGUGCAUUAUUGCUGUCAAGAUGACUCAUCUUUUGACAGCAACCUGUCAAGAUGUCACAUCUUUUGACGGGGUUCAAACAGUGUAUGUGUGUGCGUGCCAUGUUUGUGUGCCAUGUUUGUGUGUAAGUGCAUUAUUGCUGUCAAGAUGAUCGACCCCAUCUUUUGACAAGUGUGUACGUGCUAUAUCGUGAUGUGUGUGCUAUAUGUUUGUGUGUAGAUGUCGUUUGUGUGUAGAUGUCACAUCUUUUGUGUGUGCGUGUUGUUAUGUGUGUGAUUACUGUCAAGAUUUCAUAUCUUUUAACAGGGUUCACAUGUGUGCGUGUUCUUAUGUACUGUCAAGAUGAGUCGUCUAUUUGCCGGUGCUUUGCCGGUGCUGUGCAUCGCUACUAUGAGAGCCGGAGAAGACUUCACUUCACAAUGAUUCCAAACAUCAAGGGUGCAGAUUUUAAACAUGCAAGCAAGGGAAUUGAGAAAGAAGGACAGUGACUGGGAUCAUAGCUACUACCUCAAGCUAGAAGCCUGAAGAACCUGGUGAAGAAGCUCUUGGGAUGGACUAAGUUCCUGGAUCUGGUGAAGAAAACAUUUCCCGGGAAAAUGGCGUCUGCCGAUGUGACCUCCCUCACAGACAAGUUUCUGCUGAUCCUGCUUGAACCAUGUCUCCGUGAGAACAUUGAGAACACUUAUUCAGUGUCUUUAUUCAGUGUCUUUAGUCACUUUGUGCCUUCAUACAAUAUUGUUUGUGUACAUAAUUGUAAA